rnacentral:lncRNA from 1 species
AACAUUAUUUUCUUUUACCGUUCAGAGCUUUGAUUUUCCCUUUUUCCUUUCCGCUUUUCAUUUAGCCAAAGUAGUAGUUUCCUACACUGGGGGCCUACUACAAUUUAUUUAAUUUAGUCUAAACAAUUACUUCGAAGAAGCAGAAUCCUACCGACAUGUGGAGGACUGCUCAAGUACUUCAAGAUUCGGCAUAUUCUAUUAAUCCAAUUUCCAGGUUUUUAUUCAAUUAUAAUUGUUAUUGCUUUAUUAUUGUUUGCUUUAUUGUUGAUCUGUUUAUGUUCGUCUGUGUUUG